AGAAUUUGGUGGAAAGUUACAUUUAGUAACGGAUGAUAAUUAGUUCAAAAGUUACUUUGAUGGUUUUGAUGUCAAUGGUAUUACGGAAUCAAAGUGCAAUGUUCUUGUCAUCUUGUUGUGCUUUUUGAUUGAGAUGAUGUGCACAAUGAAGAUUUAUAUUUUUUGCAUGAAGUAUUUUAUUUUUUAUGGCAAUGUUAUUUGUUGUUUUUUUAAGCCCAUUUUGAAGGCAAUGCUUUGUAACUUUAAUUUUAAUUUGUUGUGUGUUAUUUAAAUUUUAAUUUUAAUUUGGUGUGUAUUAUUUAAA